AGCACAAUGUAUUAGCAGUUCAUCACCUUAACCACUCAGCCACCUCAUCUGAGAGGUUAGAAAAUGGACAGGAUGAGAAAUCUAAGGCCAGCAGAGAUAGGGACACUAAGGUAUUUUUAAAUACUAAGCGGAAGUAGGGGCUGAAUGAGCUCCCCCCUCACACCUACUGACCAGCUGUGGGAAAGGCUUCAGGAACAGACCGUGUUUGCAUAGACACACCUACUCUGCCUAGAAACCUCCCUUGUGUUUCAGACUGUGCAGUGACGCCUUCCCCACCCCAGGCCUCUGGAGCCUUUGGAGCAGAAAGAUCCCAGGAGCUGAGGAGGAAUCCAGGGGAUGGCCAGGCACCUGAGGAUGUUCAGGAAGAAGGCUCUGCAGGUGGCCCCAGAGCCUGUGGGAAGCAGCUGCCAUCUUCCCCAGGAGCGGAGCGGCCCAACCGUCCCCAAUGGCAGGGAAGGAGCUCUCGGCCGGGCCAGGAGGUGGAAGUGCCCAGCCUUCUGGAAGAGGUAACCUGCUCCUGGCGCAGGCGCUGAGGUUGGAGAGGCACCGUCAAGGCCAAAAUGGAGCUGGGCCAGGAUGCAGCUGGGCAGGCAGGACCCAGCCCAGGAGCGGAACCGGGCAGGGUGGUUCCGGGGCUUGUUGUGUGGGCAGCAGCGGCCCCAGGAGCCCAGCCCCGAUUUCCAGCAGGAGGCAUCGCCCUGCCCAGUCAGUGGGGACCUUCCAGCCUUCCCGGGGCAGGAGGUGGAGGAUCCCUCUCCCAGCCCCAGCAGCUCGGCCCGCUUCCUGUGGGACAACAGCAGCGCCUGGAACUUGGACAGCAGCGAGGCCGACAGACGCUUCUGCUUUAUUCCAGUUUUCCCAGAAAAAUGAUCAAGGACAUUUCAAAUGAGAAAAACAAACAAAACCAGAGAAACCCC